rnacentral:rRNA from 1 species
AACGAACGCUGGCGGCAGGCUUAACACAUGCAAGUCGAGCGAGUGUCCUUGGGGGCAUCAGCUGCGGACGGGUUAGUAACGCGUGGGAACGUGCCUUGUUCUUGUGAAUAUCCCUGGGAAACCGGGGGUAAUACCUGAUGUUCCCUGAGGGGGAAAUGUGGCAACACCUGCACGGGAUCGGCCCGCGCCUAUUUAGGUAGUUGGUGAGGUAACGGCCCACCAAGGCGACGAUGGGUAGCCGACCUGAGAGGGUGAUCAGCAACACUGGAACGGAGACACGGUCCAGACUCCUACGGGAGGCAGCAGUAGGGAAUCUUCCGCAAUGGGCGAAAGCCUGACGGAGCAACGCCGCGUGAGUGAUGAAGGUCGUCGGAUCGUAAAACUCUGUUAUUAGGGAAGAACAAAUGUGUAAGUAACUAUGCACGUCUUGACGGUACCUAAUCAGAAAGCCACGGCUAACUACGUG